GUCCGACCUCCUCUGGUUUGUUGGGUUUGUUGGACUUGUUGGGUUUGUUGGACUUGUUGGGUUUGUUGGACUUGUUGGUUUUGUUUAACUUGUUGGAUUUGUUUGGUUUGUUGGCUUUGUUGGUUUUGUUUGACUUGUUUGACUUGUUUGGUUUGUUGGGUUUGUUGGACUUGUUGGGUUUGUUGGGCUUGUAGGUUUUGUUUGACUUGUUGGAUUUGUUUGGCUUGUUGGACUUGUUGGUUUUGUUUGACUUGUUUGGUUUGUUGAGUUUGUUCGACUUGUUGGGUUUGUUGGACCUGUUGGGUUUGUUGGACUUGUUGGUUUUGUUUGACUUGUUGGUUUUGUUCUGUUUGACUUGUUGGGUUUGUUGGACCUGUUGGGUUUGUUGGACUUGUUCGUUUUGUUUGACUUGUUGGAUUUGUUUGGCUUGUUGGACUUGUUGGUUCUGUUUGACUUGUUGGAUUUGUUUGGCUUGUUGGUUUUGUUUGACUUGUUUGAUUUGUUGGGUUUGUUGGACUUGUUGGGUUUGUUGGACUUGUUGGUUUUGUUUGACUUGUUUGGUUUGUUGGGUUUGUUGGACUUGUUGAACUUGUUGGGUCUGUUGGACUUGUUGGGUUUGUUUGACUGGUUUGGCUUGUUGGAUUUGUUUGACGUGUUGGCUUGUUGGACGUGUUGGGUUUGUUGGUUUUGUUGGCUUGUUGGGUUUGUUUGACUUGUUGGACUUGUUUGGCUUGUUGGACUUGUUGGGUUUGUUUGACUUGUUUGGCUUGCUGGAUUUGUUUGACGUGUGCCAUUGUUGGUUUUUUGGCUUGUUGGACGUGUUGGGUUUGUUGGCUUGUUGGGUUUGUUGGAUUCGUUUGACUUGUUGGUUUUGUUUGACUUGUUGGUUUUGUUUGGCUUGUUGGGGAUUGUUGGUUUUAUUUGCUUGUUUGACUUGUUGGAUUUGUUUGACAUGUUGGGCUUGUUGGCUUGUUGGGUUUGUUUGCUUGUUUAACUUGUUGGAUUUGUUUGACAUGUUGGGUUUGUUGGCUUGUUGGGUUUGUUGGUUUUGUUUGGCUUGUUGGUUUUGUUUCUUGUUGGGUUUGUUUGGCUUGUUGGAUUUGUUUGGCUUGUUGGUUUUGUUUGGUUUGUUGGAUUUGUUUUGCUUGUUGGACUUAUUGGUUUUUGUUGGCUUGUUGGAUGUGUUGG